GUGGUGGCUCAGUGGUAGAGCACUUGCCUAACAUGUGUGAGGCACUGGGUUCCAUUCUCAGUACCACA
rnacentral:tRNA from 1 species